GGGGAUUUAGCUCAGCGGCAUAAGCACCUGCCUUGCAAGCAGGAGAUCGUGAGUUUGAUCCCCA
rnacentral:tRNA from 1 species